rnacentral:rRNA from 1 species
GGUUAAGCGACUAAGCGUACACGGUGGAUGCCCUGGCAGUCAGAGGCGAUGAAGGACGUGCUAAUCUGCGAUAAGCGUCGGUAAGGUGAUAUGAACCGUUAUAACCGGCGAUUUCCGAAUGGGGAAACCCAGUGUGAUUCGUCACACUAUCAUUAACUGAAUCCAUAGGUUAAUGAGGCGAACCGGGGGAACUGAAACAUCUAAGUACCCCGAGGAAAAGAAAUCAACCGAGAUUCCCCCAGUAGCGGCGAGCGAACGGGGAGCAGCCCAGAGCCUGAAUCAGUGUGUGUGUUAGUGGAAGCGUCUGGAAAGGCGCGCGAUACAGGGUGACAGCCCCGUACACAAAAAUGCACAUACUGUGAGCUCGAUGAGUAGGGCGGGACACGUGGUAUCCUGUCUGAAUAUGGGGGGACCAUCCUCCAAGGCUAAAUACUCCUGACUGACCGAUAGUGAACCAGUACCGUGAGGGAAAGGCGAAAAGAACCCCGGCGAGGGGAGUGAAAAAGAACCUGAAACCGUGUACGUACAAGCAGUGGGAGCACGCUUAGGCGUGUGACUGCGUACCUUUUGUAUAAUGGGUCAGCGACUUAUAUUCUGUAGCAAGGUUAACCGAAUAGGGGAGCCGAAGGGAAACCGAGUCUUAACUGGGCGUUAAGUUGCAGGGUAUAGACCCGAAACCCGGUGAUCUAGCCAUGGGCAGGUUGAAGGUUGGGUAACACUAACUGGAGGACCGAACCGACUAAUGUUGAAAAAUUAGCGGAUGACUUGUGGCUGGGGGUGAAAGGCCAAUCAAACCGGGAGAUAGCUGGUUCUCCCCGAAAGCUAUUUAGGUAGCGCCUCGUGAAUUCAUCUCCGGGGGUAGAGCACUGUUUCGGCAAGGGGGUCAUCCCGACUUACCAACCCGAUGCAAACUGCGAAUACCGGAGAAUGUUAUCACGGGAGACACACGGCGGGUGCUAACGUCCGUCGUGAAGAGGGAAACAACCCAGACCGCCAGCUAAGGUCCCAAAGUCAUGGUUAAGUGGGAAACGAUGUGGGAAGGCCCAGACAGCCAGGAUGUUGGCUUAGAAGCAGCCAUCAUUUAAAGAAAGCGUAAUAGCUCACUGGUCGAGUCGGCCUGCGCGGAAGAUGUAACGGGGCUAAACCAUGCACCGAAGCUGCGGCAGCGACGCUUAUGCGUUGUUGGGUAGGGGAGCGUUCUGUAAGCCUGUGAAGGUGUACUGUGAGGUAUGCUGGAGGUAUCAGAAGUGCGAAUGCUGACAUAAGUAACGAUAAAGCGGGUGAAAAGCCCGCUCGCCGGAAGACCAAGGGUUCCUGUCCAACGUUAAUCGGGGCAGGGUGAGUCGACCCCUAAGGCGAGGCCGAAAGGCGUAGUCGAUGGGAAACAGGUUAAUAUUCCUGUACUUGGUGUUACUGCGAAGGGGGGACGGAGAAGGCUAUGUUGGCCGGGCGACGGUUGUCCCGGUUUAAGCGUGUAGGCUGGUUUUCCAGGCAAAUCCGGAAAAUCAAGGCUGAGGCGUGAUGACGAGGCACUACGGUGCUGAAGCAACAAAUGCCCUGCUUCCAGGAAAAGCCUCUAAGCAUCAGGUAACAUCAAAUCGUACCCCAAACCGACACAGGUGGUCAGGUAGAGAAUACCAAGGCGCUUGAGAGAACUCGGGUGAAGGAACUAGGCAAAAUGGUGCCGUAACUUCGGGAGAAGGCACGCUGAUAUGUAGGUGAAGUCCCUCGCGGAUGGAGCUGAAAUCAGUCGAAGAUACCAGCUGGCUGCAACUGUUUAUUAAAAACACAGCACUGUGCAAACACGAAAGUGGACGUAUACGGUGUGACGCCUGCCCGGUGCCGGAAGGUUAAUUGAUGGGGUCAGCGCAAGCGAAGCUCUUGAUCGAAGCCCCGGUAAACGGCGGCCGUAACUAUAACGGUCCUAAGGUAGCGAAAUUCCUUGUCGGGUAAGUUCCGACCUGCACGAAUGGCGUAAUGAUGGCCAGGCUGUCUCCACCCGAGACUCAGUGAAAUUGAACUCGCUGUGAAGAUGCAGUGUACCCGCGGCAAGACGGAAAGACCCCGUGAACCUUUACUAUAGCUUGACACUGAACAUUGAGCCUUGAUGUGUAGGAUAGGUGGGAGGCUUGGAAGUGUGGACGCCAGUCUGCAUGGAGCCGACCUUGAAAUACCACCCUUUAAUGUUUGAUGUUCUAACGUGGACCCGUGAUCCGGGUUGCGGACAGUGUCUGGUGGGUAGUUUGACUGGGGCGGUCUCCUCCUAAAGAGUAACGGAGGAGCACGAAGGUUGGCUAAUCCUGGUCGGACAUCAGGAGGUUAGUGCAAUGGCAUAAGCCAGCUUGACUGCGAGCGUGACGGCGCGAGCAGGUGCGAAAGCAGGUCAUAGUGAUCCGGUGGUUCUGAAUGGAAGGGCCAUCGCUCAACGGAUAAAAGGUACUCCGGGGAUAACAGGCUGAUACCGCCCAAGAGUUCAUAUCGACGGCGGUGUUUGGCACCUCGAUGUCGGCUCAUCACAUCCUGGGGCUGAAGUAGGUCCCAAGGGUAUGGCUGUUCGCCAUUUAAAGUGGUACGCGAGCUGGGUUUAGAACGUCGUGAGACAGUUCGGUCCCUAUCUGCCGUGGGCGCUGGAGAACUGAGGGGGGCUGCUCCUAGUACGAGAGGACCGGAGUGGACGCAUCACUGGUGUUCGGGUUGUCAUGCCAAUGGCACUGCCCGGUAGCUAAAUGCGGAAGAGAUAAGUGCUGAAAGCAUCUAAGCACGAAACUUGCCCCGAGAUGAGUUCUCCCUGACUCCUUGAGAGUCCUGAAGGAACGUUGAAGACGACGACGUUGAUAGGCCGGGUGUGUAAGCGCAGCGAUGCGUUGAGCUAACCGGUACUAAUGAACCGUGAGGCUUAACCUU